rnacentral:lncRNA from 1 species
GUGUACACCGGACAUGUCCGGUGCGCCAGCCACAUCACCAAAGCCGUUGGGAUUCGACCGUUGGAGCUCUGUCUUCUGGGCCCGCCUGGAUGUCCGGUGGCGCACCGGACAUGUACUGUUGAGUGUCCGGUGCGCCAGUAUGGGCGUGCCUGACGCCUGCGCGCUCUGGCGCGCAUUAAUUGCUGUUGCAGGCGACCGUUGGCGCGAAGUAGCCGUUGCCCCGCAGUUAAAUCGGACAGUCCGGUGUACACCGGACAUGUCCGGUGAAUUAUAGCGGAGCAGCCGUUGCAGUUUCCCGAAGCUGGCGAGUUCCUGAGGCCGCUCUUCCUUGGAGCACCGGACACUGUCCGGUGUACACCGGACAGUCCGGUGAAUUAUAGUGGAGUUGCCUCAGGAUUUUCCUGAAGGCGACGAGUUCGCGC